AUUAAAAAAAAAUGGGAUCGCUUCUCGGCCUUUUGGCUAAGAUCAAGUGUAAAAAAAAAUGGGGGGUUGGGGAAUUUAGCUCAGUGGUAGAGCGCUUGCCUAGAAAGCGC
rnacentral:miRNA from 14 species